UUCCUGGUGGCUCAGAUGGUAAAGCAUCUGCCUUCAAAGCAGGAGACCCAGGUUCAACCCCUGGGUUGGGAA
rnacentral:tRNA from 1 species